rnacentral:rRNA from 1 species
AGCAGCCGCGGUAAUUCCAGCUCCAAUAGCGUAUAUUAAAGUUGCUGCAGUUAAAAAGCUCGUAGUUGAAUUUCGGGAUCAAUAUGUUGGUCGUGCCUCGGUACGUACUAGCUUAUUGGUUUCUCCCUUCUGACGAACCAUGAUGUCAUUUAUUUGGUGUUAUGAGGAAUCAGGACUGUUACUUUGAAAAAUUAGAGUGUUUAAAGCAGGCUCACGCUUGAAUACAUUAGCAUGGAAUAAUGAAAUAGGACGUUUGAUUCUAUUUUGUUGGUUUCUAGGAUCGACGUAAUGAUUAAUAGGGAUAGUUGGGGGCAUUAGUAUUCAAUUGUCAGAGGUGAAAUUCUUGGAUUUAUUGAAGACUAACUACUGCGAAAGCAUUUGCCAAGGAUGUUUUCAUUAAUCAAGAACGAAAGUUAGGGGAUCGAAGACGAUCAGAUACCGUCGUAGUCU